GAUGAACGCUGGCGGCGUGCCUAAUACAUGCGAGUCGAGCGAACGGACGAGAAGCUUGCUUUUCUGAUGUUAGCGGCGGACGGGUGAGUAACACGUGGAUAACCUACCUAUAAGACUGGGAUAACUUCGGGAAACCGGAGCUAAUACCGGAUAAUAUUUUGAACCGCAUGGUUCAAAAGUGAAAGACGGUCUUGCUGUCACUUAUAGAUGGAUCCGCGCUGCAUUAGCUAGUUGGUAAGGUAACGGCUUACCAAGGCAACGAUGCAUAGACGACCUGAGAGGGUGAUCGGCCACACUGGAACUGAGACACGGUCCAGACUCCUACGGGAGGCAGCAGUAGGGAAUCUUCCGCAAUGGGCGAAAGCCUGACGGAGCAACGCCGCGUGAGUGAUGAAGGUCUUCGGAUCGUAAAACUCUGUUAUUAGGGAAGAACAUAUGUGUAAGUAACUGUGCACAUCUUGACGGUACCUAAUCAGAAAGCCACGGCUAACUACGUG
rnacentral:rRNA from 1 species